rnacentral:rRNA from 1 species
CCUACGGGGGGCAGCAGUGAGGAAUAUUGGUCAAUGGGCGGGAGCCUGAACCAGCCAAGUCGCGUGAGGGAAGACGGUCCUAUGGAUUGUAAACCUCUUUAGGCGGGGAGCAAUGCCGGGCACGCGUGCCCGGAGGGAGAGUACCCGCAGAAUAAGCAUCGGCUAACUCCGUGCCAGCAGCCGCGGUAAUACGGAGGAUGCGAGCGUUAUCCGGAUUUAUUGGGUUUAAAGGGUGCGUAGGCGGGAGAUCAAGUCAGCGGUAAAAAUGCGGGGCCCAACCCCGUCGAGCCGUUGAAACUGGUUUU